GUAGGUGGCAAGCGUUGUCCGGAAUUAUUGGGCGUAAAGCGCGCGCAGGCGGUUCUUUAAGUCUGAUGUGAAAGCCCACGGGCUCAACCGUGAGGGUCAUUGGAAACUGGAGAACUUGAGUACAGAAGAGGAAAGCGGAAUUCCGCGUGUAGCGGUGAAAUGCGUAGAGAUGUGGAGGAACACCAGUGGCGAAGGCGGCUUUCUGGUCUGUAACUGACGCUGAGGCGCGAAAGCGUGGGGAGCAAACAGGAUUAGAUACCCUGGUAGUCCACGCCGUAAACGAUGAGUGCUAAGUGUUAGGGGGUUUCCGCCCCUUAGUGCUGCAGCUAACGCAUUAAGCACUCCGCCUGGGGAGUACGGCCGCAAGGCUG
rnacentral:rRNA from 1 species